rnacentral:rRNA from 1 species
AUUGAACGCUGGCGGCAUGCUUUACACAUGCAAGUCGAACGGCAGCGCGGGCUUCGGCCUGGCGGCGAGUGGCGAACGGGUGAGUAAUGCAUCGGAACGUGCCCAGUAGUGGGGGAUAGCCCGGCGAAAGCCGGAUUAAUACCGCAUACGACCUGAGUGUGAAAGCGGGGGACCGAAAGGCCUCGCGCUAUUGGAGCGGCCGAUGUCUGAGUAGCUAGUUGGUGUGGUAAAGGCUUACCAAGGCGACGAUCCGUAGCUGGUCUGAGAGGACGACCAGCCACACUGGGACUGAGACACGGCCCAGACUCCUACGGGAGGCAGCAGUGGGGAAUUUUGGACAAUGGGGGCAACCCUGAUCCAGCCAUGCCGCGUGCGGGAAGAAGGCCUUCGGGUUGUAAACCGCUUUUGUUCGGGAAGAAAUCCUCUGGGCUAAUACCCCGGGGGGAUGACGGUACCGGAAGAAUAAGCACCGGCUAACUACGUG